AGGAAGGUUUGAUCCUGGCUCAGAACGAACGCUGGCGGCAGGCCUAACACAUGCAAGUCGAACGAGCUGGGACCUUCGGGUCCCGAUGCUAGUGGCGCACGGGUGAGUAACACGUGGGAACCUACCCUAUAGUACGGAAUAACUGAGGGAAACUUUGGCUAAUACCGUAUACGCCCUUCGGGGGAAAGAUUUAUCGCUAUAGGAUGGGCCCGCGUCUGAUUAGGUAGUUGGUGAGGUAACGGCUCACCAAGCCGACGAUCAGUAGCUGGUCUGAGAGGAUGAUCAGCCACACUGGGACUGAGACACGGCCCAGACUCCUACGGGAGGCAGCAGUGGGGAAUAUUGGACAAUGGGCGCAAGCCUGAUCCAGCCAUGCCGCGUGAGUGAAGAAGGCCUUCGGGUUGUAAAGCUCUUUCGGCGGGGACGAUGAUGACGGUACCCGCAUAAGAAGCCCCGGCUAACUUCGUGCCAGCAGCCGCGGUAAUACGAAGGGGGCUAGCGUUGUUCGGAAUUACUGGGCGUAAAGCGAACGUAGGCGGUGUUCCAUGUCAGAGGUGAAAGCCUGGGGCUCAACUCCAGAAUUGCCUUUGAAACGGGGACGCUUGAGUCCCGAGAGAGGAUGGCGGAAUUCCUAGUGUAGAGGUGAAAUUCGUAGAUAUUAGG
rnacentral:rRNA from 1 species